UACGUAGGGUGCGAGCGUUAAUCGGAAUUACUGGGCGUAAAGCGUGCGUAGGCGGUUCGUUGUGUCUGUGGUGAAAGCCCCGGGCUUAACCUGGGAAUGGCCAUGGAAACUGGCGAGCUGGAGUGUGGCAGAGGGGGGUGGAAUUCCGCGUGUAGCAGUGAAAUGCGUAGAGAUGCGGAGGAACACCGAUGGCGAGGGCAGCCCCCUGGGCUAACACUGACGCUGAGGCACGAAAGCGUGGGGAGCAAACAGG
rnacentral:rRNA from 1 species